rnacentral:rRNA from 1 species
GCGUUGUUCGGAAUUACUGGGCGUAAAGGGCUCGUAGGCGGCCAACUAAGUCAGACGUGAAAUCCCUCGGCUUAACCGGGGAACUGCGUCUGAUACUGGAUGGCUUGAAUCCGGGAGAGGGAUGCAGAAUUCCAGGUGUAGCGGUGAAAUGCGUAGAUAUCUGGAGGAAUACCGGUGGCGAAGGCGGCAUCCUGGACCGGCAUUGACGCUGAUGAGCGAAAGCUAGGGGAGCAAACGGG